UACGGAGGAUCCAAGCGUUAUCCGGAUUUAUUGGGUUUAAAGGGUGCGUAGGUGGACUCAUAAGUCAGCGGUGAAAGUUUGCAGCUUAACUGUAAAAUUGCCGUUGAAACUGUCGGUCUUGAGUGCAAAUGAGGUAGGCGGAAUGUGUCGUGUAGCGGUGAAAUGCAUAGAUAUGACACAGAACACCAAUUGCGAAGGCAGCUUACUGGGAUGCAACUGACACUGAGGCACGAAGGCGUGGGGAUCAAACAGGAUUA
rnacentral:rRNA from 1 species